rnacentral:rRNA from 1 species
UACGUAGGUGGCAAGCGUUGUCCGGAUUUACUGGGCGUAAAGAGCGCGCAGGCGGUCGUUCAAGUCGCGUGUGAAAGCCCCCGGCUCAACUGGGGAGGGUCACGCGAUACUGCUCGACUUGAAGGCAGGAGAGGGAAGUGGAAUUCCCGGUGUAGUGGUGAAAUGCGUAGAUAUCGGGAGGAACACCGGUGGCGAAGGCGGCUCUCUGGACCACUACUGACGCUGAGGCGCGAAAGCUAGGGGAGCAAACAGG